UGAGUAAUCUGCCCAUCUCUUUGGAAUAAGCGUGGGAAACCGCGUCUAAUGCCGAAUACGACCUCCUUUCGCAUGAUCGGAGGUGGAAAGCUCCGGCGGAGAAGGAUGAGCUCGCGGCCUAUCAGCUAGUUGGUGUGGGUAAUGGCCCACCAAGGCGAUGACGGGUAGCCGGCCUAAGAGGGUGACCGGCCACACUGGGACUGAGACACGGCCCAGACUCCUACGGGAGGNAGCG
rnacentral:rRNA from 1 species